UACGUAGGGCGCAAGCGUUGUCCGGAAUUAUUGGGCGUAAAGAGCUCGUAGGCGGUUUGCCGCGUCUGCCGUGAAAGCCCGGGGCUCAACCCCGGGUCUGCGGUGGGUACGGGCAGACUGGAGUGAUGUAGGGGAGACUGGAAUUCCUGGUGUAGCGGUGAAAUGCGCAGAUAUCAGGAGGAACACCGAUGGCGAAGGCAGGUCUCUGGGCAUUAACUGACGCUGAGGAGCGAAAGCAUGGGGAGCGAACAGG
rnacentral:rRNA from 1 species